GCCCUGGUGGUGAAAUUGGUAGACACGCCAUCUUGAGGGGGUGGUGCCGCAAGGCGUCACGGUUCGAGUCCGUGCCAGGGCA
rnacentral:tRNA from 1 species